ACACAAAAUAAUAUUUUUACCCCUUAAUAAACAUACAAUUUUUAACACUAAUCAAACAUGUAUGAAUACAUCUCAUUUUUCUUAUGAAGUGGAAGAAACCCAGGCCUACAGUCCAAAAAAUACAAGAACAAAAAAACACGAGCAACUGAUAUAUAUGCAUGCAUUCUUCUUGAACUUGAUGGGCUUAGUGCUGAGAUUGUCUAUGACUAAAGGGCGGGAGAUUUUCUUCUUGUGUGUUGUCUUCACCAGCUUUCCCGCAACUUCUCAUCUUGAUCGAAUUCCAAACUUCAGCAUCAAUGGAACCUCACCUCUAGUUGGAGAAGCUUGGGUGAAAGGCAAAACCCUUCUUCAAAACAAAAAAAAAAAAUUGUGAAACAUUUAUCAAGGGUUUAUAAAUGAAUUUAAUAGGUUUAAUGAGUAAAAUAACUACUAUUAUAAAAAUUGGGUUUAAUAAGGGUACAUUAGGUACUUAACUAGGUUUAUUGAGUAAAAUUUAAAAUUUAAAAAUGUGAAGGUGGGCUUAUUUAGUAAAUGAGUUUAGUGAGUAGGUUGGUGAGUUCAAAUAGCCUCACCCUUUCUUAAGUGAUAAAGGUCUGUUUUAGUCAAUGACAGACAUUUUUGUUACUUUGGUGAAAGGUCAAUAUUCUGACUUGAUUUUCACUUAUGCUUAUUUUUGUGAAAUUUUGUAUGCAAUGCCAUGCAUGUUCAUAGUACCUCUGUAAAUUUUCAUGGUUUUCUGACAUGUGUAUAGGUUAUUAAAAACUAGCAUGUGCAAGAUACUCAUGUUUAUGUCUAGAAUAUGUUUAAGUAUUGAGCUAGUAUAAGUGCCUAUGAUUUAAGGAUGAUUGGGAUUAUGUUUAAGGUUAGAGAUACUAUUGAUAAUGAUAUUUUUAUGAUUAUUAUAGAAUGUGGGUGAGCUCGUUGGUUUGUUCUUGAGGUAUUGAGUUGAUUGCUGCAGAUUGAGAUAAGUAGAUUCAUACAUGGUACAUGUACUCUAUUAUUCAUUUACUUUUGAUUCAAUGUAUGUAUUAUGUUGAAAAAAUAGUAUAUGAAAUUGAUUUGUUUAGUUUAUUACAAUAUUUUGUUAAGUAAAAUCAUUUUUUUAAAAUUAUUUAUAAAAAAACUUGUUUUAUAAAUUGUCUUAAAAAUGAAAGCUUUUGUUAAAUUGUUUUAAGUCAAAUAUUGUGCAUGGAUUUACUUACCGAGUUGACGGCUCACCCCUCGUCUCUAGUAUUUUGUAGAUUGAUUAGAGAUGUGACUUGGGUAUUUAGAUGGAGAUUUUUUUUUAGUGAAUCUUUGGAGUUGCUUUAAAGAUUAAAUUUGGCUAGGUUUUUUAUUUUAGAUUAAAGACUUUUCUUUAGAGACUUUAUUUCAAAUGUUUUACGUAAAGAUUCAGUUGGAGUAUGAAUAAUGAUUGUCUAUCUUGAGGUUUAUUAAUAAGAAUAAACGAUGUGAGAUUUCAUUCCAAUUUUACUCUUGUGCUUUCAUGGGUAAAGUUUUUAGAUGUUACAGACAUCUAAAUAAAAAAUGAAUAAAAUAUGGAUAUUUUUAUUUGAGAAGAAAUGUGGGCGAGGCUAUUUCAUUCUAUUAAAUUGUAUUUUUAUACCCAUUUUUGGUUUAAAUGUUCUCUUAUUAAUUUGCUAAAGUAUUUUUUUUUAUGGAAUUAACUAAUUAAUUGAACACUGUUUUCUCUUUCUCUUGCUAUUGCUCAGUUUCGUACACACCGUUUCACAUAUGUUCUUAUUUCAAUGUUCAAUUGCAAGUGAAUGUUAAUGUUUGUCCAUCAAAAAUUGAUAGAUUUAGGUUUUCUAUAGGCCAUCAUCAAUUACAAACAAAACAAAACUCACUCUCAAAAAAUAAAUUUCAAGCAAAAUUGACAGGCCAUGAAAAUUGAAAGCCACUACGUUUUCUUUUUACGUAAACUCUUUGAAAAGAAAAGUCAUGAUUCAAAUGACAUCGACAUUCUUUGACCUUAUUGAAAAAAGAACAUUGAUUGUGAUGACAUGAAUUGUAAGCCUUACCUAAAAGAUACUGAUGGACCCGGAGAUAUGCAUAAGGCUGCGCUCGAUGAGAGUUUUAUGUUAAUAAUUCAAGAAAUGCAGUAAUGAUUUAUUGAAAAUUCAAUUAUAAUUUAAUAAGAAAGAUUAAGAAUCAACGUCCAUCACAGACUGUGGGUGAGAAUUUAGUUUGCAUGAUGUUAAGAUAGAGAGAGAAUAUGCAUCCGUAAAAGAAAGGUGAAAAAAUAAAGAAUAAUUUUGACGGUUUAAAAUUUUAAAAUAAAUAUUUUUUUGUAUCAAGUGUAGAAAGAGAUUCAGUGGGCUCAAGUAGCCCCAUCUAAGAAAUAUUUAUGUAGGAAGAUGUUUCAAUAAAAGAUUCUAAAUUUAUUAAAUUUCGAAAGAAUUCUUAAACCAUAUGAAGUCCAUAAUCCUAGACCAGAUUAGUACUCAUACAUAUACAUACAUAUAUGUAUGUAUGUAUGUAUGUAUGUAUAGUUAUAGUUUUUCUCUAGUGUGUAUAUCU
rnacentral:lncRNA from 1 species